GUGCUCUUGCCGAAGCUACGGCGAGCAGGUCGCGGGGCUGGGCUGGGCGGAGCUAGGUCCAGGGAGGAAGGAGUCGGUGAGCUGAAUCUGUGGAGCGUACUGGGGCGGGAGUCCUGCGAGUAGUCUGGAAAAUUAGACUUCUGAGCCUUAAUUCGUGCUCACAAGCAGCACAGUAAAUUUUAAAAUGUAGUGAAGCAAUGUAAUAUAGUAACUAAAACCCCAAGCUUUGGAGCCAGACUGCGCCUUUAACCCUAAAGCUGCCGUUUAUUUUGACUGGCGAGUCAUUUAGUUUAUUUAUUUAUUUUUUUCUGAAGCAGGGUCUCACUCUGUCGCCCAUGCUGGAGUGCAGUGGUGUGAUCUCGGCUCACUACAACCUCCACUUCCCGGGUUCAAGCGAUUGUCCCACCUCAGCCUCCUGAGUAGCUGGGAUUACAGGCGCCCGCCCCCGUUCCCGGCUAAUUUUUGUAUUUUCAGUAGAGACGGGGUUUCACCAUGUUGGCCAGGCUGGUCUCAAACUCCUGACUUCAAGUGAUCCGUCCGCCUCGGCCUCCCGAAGUGCUGAGAUUACAGGCGUGAGCCACCGCGCCUGGCCAUUUAAUUAACUCUAAUACUGUUUCUCCUGUAAGAUGAACUAGCCAUGAGAGGUUUCUGGGAUAUUGGUUCACUCAGCAAGGAUUUUAAAAAAUGCCUUCUAUGUGCCAGACGCUGUUGUAGGUACCGGGAAUAUGGCAGUUAAAUUAAGAGGGUGAAGGUUUCUGCUCUGAUAGAGUUUAUAUUUUAAGUGUGAGAGGACAGACCAGAUAGAUAGAUGUAAAUCAAAUAAUUAAACAGAUCAUUUUACAUACUGUAGCGCUAUAGAGAAAAUAUAGCUGAAUGGGUGAUAGUGACUUGGGAAUGGGGGUGGCUACUCUGGAUAGGGUAGGUUAAGGAGACAUCUCGAGAUGUAGAAGGGGCUAGUGCUUUUUAAGAACUGAAAGAUCAGUGAAGAAGGGGAGCUUAGUGACUGAGGAGUAGUGUGGCACUAGAUGGGGUCUGAGAAUUACACAGGAAUAUGUGGAUCCUGUAGGCCAUGGUAAAGCCUUUUUUCUACUCUUCUGGUGAUUUAAGGCCAUUGUAAAGUUUUGAGCAUGGGAGUUGGUAGCAAAAUAAGAUUUAUAUUUUUAUGGGAUUACUCUGGCUGUUGAGAAAAAGACGUGAAUCUGGGAGGCCCCUUCGGAAGGUAUUGCAAUAGUUCAGACGAGAGAUGGUGAUAGCUUGGACCCUCAGUGGAGGUGGUAAAAAGUGGUUGGGUCAGAUACACUGCUUGGUGGUAGAAUGAACAGAAUUUGCUCAGGACUGCAGGAUGUGGGAGAGGAGUUAAUUACACCCCUAUGAUUUUUUACCUCAGCACUUGGGUGAGUUGUAGAGUUGUGAGUUGUGAGUUGGGUGAGUUCUAAAGUGGGAAAUACUAGGAGAGGAGCAAAUUUCAAAGGAGGAAAUGAAGAGUUCUGGUUUGGAUAUGUUAAGUUUGAGCUGCCAAACAUCCAGGGAUGUGGAGUGGACAGUUGGAUAUAUGAUAUGAAGCUCAGGAGUCAUCAAUGAAUAAAUAGUAUUAAAACUAUGGCUCUGAUUGAGAUAGCUUAGGUGAUGACUGUAGGUAGAACAGAGAAAGAUUAGAGUCCUGAGCACAGCAAAGUUUAGUGGUACAGAAAAGAUGGCAGGUGAAGCAAAACAGAUGAAGAAACAGUGGCCAAUGUUACACUCUGUUCAAAGCCAAGUGAAGAAGGGAGUGAGAAAGUGUGAAAAGAGAUAAGAUGAGGACUGAGAAUUGUCUUUUGGACUUGAAAAUGUGGAGGUUACUGGUCACUUUGUCAAAUGGGGAUUCCAUGGAGUACUGAAAGUGAAAGGCUGAUGGGAUCAGAGUGAAGAGAAUAUGGGAGGGAAGGAAGUCUAGACAGCAGCUAUAGACAAUUUUUGCAAGACAUUUUUUAUGUGCAGAGAAAUGGGACCCUUUUAGGAGGGAAAUGUGAAGUUGGAGGGUUUUAUUUUUAAGAUGACAACUUUUAUGACAUUUUUGUAUGCUGAUCAGGUUGAGAAAAUUAAAAAUGGGUUAUUCAGCAGAGAAAGGGGAUAAUUGCAGGAGCAAGUCCUUUAGACUAGAAGGGUGCCCAAGUGGAGGAGUUAACUGUAGGAACAAUAACAGUUUAUGUACAGUAAUAGAGUGAUGGGUACAGCUGCAAGUAAAUUGGAAGAUUUGAUGAUAGGAGGUUGUGGAACUUCACUUUUGACUUAUUUUUUCAAUGAAAUAAAAAGCAAAGCCAUCAAUGAAGAGAGAGUGGGAGAAAAAGGCUUGAGGAGAGAAGGAUUUUCACUAACCUUGGACCAUAUAUUUGCCAGGAAGAAUGUAAGUUCUCCAACAUCUUCAGAUAAAGAAGUGGUUAUGAAGAAUGAUCAGAAUAAUGGAGGUACGAAACCAGUCCAGAAUUUCACAACAAUACCAAUCACACAGGCUCUCGACUACAAUCUGAGCAAAGAAGGGCAUUUAGAAAAAGAAUCUUGGAAUGCAUUCAGCCAUCAUGGCCCAGUUAAUGUCUCCAUCGAUGGAAUUCCUUGCAUUCUCUUCUGGGCCAAAAGAAUCACGAUUAAAUUUAAGAAUCAAACCUGGCUGGACCUUACAGAUGAGGCAUUUGGUCAGAAGGUAACAGUGGACCUUGACAACUCAAAUUGCACUGAAGAAAGUGCUAGGUUGUCUUUGAAGCUUGGUGAUGCUGGAAACCCCAGAGGUCUUGCUAUAAGAUUCAUCCUUACCAAUUACAACAAGUUGUCCAUCCAGAGCUGGUUUAGUUUGCGCCGAGUCGAGAUCGUUUCCAACAAUUCUAUCCAAGCAGUCUUUAACCCAACUGGCAUAUAUGCUCCCUCCGGUUACUCCUACCGCUGCCAACGCGUGGGCAACCUGCCGCGGGACCAGGCCCUCUUGCUGCCCAGCGACACGGAUGAUGGGUCGAGCCUGUGGGAGGUCACUCUUAUUGAUUUCCAGGCACUUGGACUAGUACCCUGCAUGAAAGUUCAUUUCAAGGCAAACAGAACAAUAUCCUUGGAAUGGGAGGAAAAGCUUCGAGCUUGAACAGAGUUGGGGUCUCCCAAAGUUGCCAAUGCUGGUCUCCAACUCCUGGCUCCAGGUGAUCAUCCCACGUCAGCCUCCCAAAGGGUUGGGAUUACAGGCAUGAGCCACCGUGCCCAGCCCAGAUGAUUCUUAUAAGAUGAGAUUUUCAAGGAUUGUGCCCAUCUCUCAGUAACCUAGCCUUCUUUUGAAGACUUGCUUACAAGACAGAAAAUUAGGAACCUUAAAGGAAAGUGCCAUUGGUAGUAGAGUCCCAUUUUACAGAUGGAAAAAUUGAGAUGAAAGAGAUUAAGUAACUUGGCCAAGGUUACAGGCUACUAUGCAGUAGAGACAGCUGCUCCAAAAGGGUCAGAUUCUGAGAUCCAUUGUCCACCCUGGCUCCUGCUCUGAAUCGACGUCAGUUUGCAACUAGUAGUUUCAUAAAUCAAGAAAAAGAAGAAAGGCAAAUUAAUGACUGUGUUAACUAGAGGGGCUCUGAAAAUUCUGCUUUACAUGUACUUAUUUUGAAUUUUGCUUUUAUUAUUAUGAACUUUGAAUUUCGCUUUUAUUAUAAUGAACUUGCAAACACAGCAUUGUAAAAGUAUAUGCACCUCCCAAAGAUGCUGGGAAGCAGUUGAUAUUUCAUCAUUUGAGGUUGUGCCUGCAAGUAGCAGAGGUGCAGGAGGAGACAAAUAAAACGGAUGCCUGCAUCCUAUUUCCAUGAAUUUCUGUCCUCUGAGCUGAAAGACAAUUGACAAGUUGGCUAAUAAGACCUUGAAGAAAGAAGAUACUUUAACCUUUAAUUGAAAAAUCCCCAUUUCUUCUCAUUCAAGAAGCAAAAGAAGAAACUAUCAUGAUGGACACUCUUGUGCUAGCAUCAGUCAUUUUGAUCACAAGACAUGGACCAGCCCACCUUGGAGCUCACCAUGGUGGUGGCCUGGUCCUCAUGCAAGUUGUCAUGGAGCUCUUGGAAAUGGCUGUAGACUUUGCUGAGCAGGAGCAACUAUGUCUCUGGUUCUUAAGGAUUAAAAAGGUUUCUUGGAAGAAUGUUCAUUUUCUGAAAUAAACAUCCCGUUGAGCCUAGUGGUACAUUGAAGAUGGAGAACAAUUGAUGUCAAGACACGUUUUGGUUGUAAGGGAUAGAAGUCCAACUCCAACGAACUUGCCAGGGAUGGAACCUGCUGGCAAACAUAACCAAACUGUGGGAAGGGCAGGGUAUGGUUAACCUCAGGUUUCUGGAAGCAGAGUGUACAGUGCUGUGCCGUCCCUCUUCUCUCUGCUUCUCUCUGCGUAUUGGCCCUAUCCUCUCAGCGGGGCCCAUGAGCAGCAAACAGCAGCCACAGGAAGCUCCAGUGUCAGUGCCUCCCACCGCUUUCCAGAGAAGCAGCAGCCUCUUCGUUAGCUCCGUAUCAAAGACAUCGACGGGCAGGACUUUGUGUGACCCAGUUUGGGUCACAUGUCUUUAUUUGGGAGGAAAUGGAUACAAUGAUGGCAGCCCUCAUGGAACCUCAUGUGUAGAAGGCCAAAUUUCCUCUCUCUAAAAGUGAAAUGUCACUGUCCAUUCAACUGAUGAAAAUCUUCCUUUUCAACAGGAAAACUAUCAUGAUGUUAUCUGUUGGGUUUCAGUUUCUUACAACAGUCAUCUUAAGAAUUAAACUGGUAUGGAUAAUCUGAUUAUGAACUCCUUGAGGGCAGGGACCAUUUUAUAUAAUACUUCUGUGUCCUCUGCUAUUUCUUAGCAGAAUUUUGAAAAUGUGCCAAGUGUUGACAUGGUUUGAUCACUUGUGAGAAUGGAGGAACCCAUAAUGUUAAUAAUUAAUGAUGGUUGUUGGAGUUACUUACCCAAAACCUUAUGAACUUAGCCUUCCUUCCCUAGCAGAUUUAGUUUCAUAAUUUGUUUGGUAUAAGCAAACACUAAAAAGGGAUAGGGGAAAGUUAUGAGUUGGGUAGUUGGGGAAAAGGUCAUUUGCAGUUUUAUUUACGUCUUAGGGCUUGACAUUUUUUGUUUGCCUUGGAGGGGGUGCUUUUAAAAAUUCCUUUUUUGAAAACAAUAAAAUCUUAGAUUUUGGAUAACAGAUAUUUCUGCACUAUAUACCUCACUUAAGAUUUUCCAGGUAACGUUUAAAAGUGCCUUUUAUAGUUUUUCAUACCAUAUUGUAGGGAAGGCCAGGGUCAUUUUUAAAACUUAACUAUGUUCAAUACCUCCUCACCACUAUAAAGUAAGGUCGAAUGUUGGUUAAAGCAAAGCUGUCUGGAAUCACCCUGUCAAAAGUACUGAUUUAUAAUCUUGCUACUCACAUUUCUUACUGUGGUGCCCUCCCUCUUGUUGGCUCCUACAUCUUUGAAGUACAGGGGGAAUGAACUAAUAUGGUAGCUCCAAUAUGCAACUAAUCCUGCCAAUGAUGUCUCCCCUGGAAGUGUUUGAGAGAAGAAUUUCUUUUCCCAGUACGGAUUUAUGUAAACAUUUGUUCCAUUCACGAGUAGCACAUUAAUGCCUAAUUCUGGAAAAAAUACAAAGAAAAAACCUUUUCUGCCUGUCUAGACAGAGUCUUGUUAGUGUAUGUCUGAUCAUAUGGGUACUCAUGCCGGUAAUAUUAAUUGGUGGGAAAUGAGCCAAGGAAAGACAACCCUAUCUACCAAUUAAAUUGACUGAGCUUACAGGGUGGUUUAUAAAGUCAACAUGCUGGGCAAGGCUUACAUCUGACCAGGGAAAUUGUUGUUUUCUGAUCCCCAGUUGGCUGUCAGCCACCUCAAACACGAGACAGAUGUUGGCUUUACUAGGGUCAGGGUUAUCACAGGGUGGGAUGAAUAGUCUUUGGCUCUGGGGUUCGCUACUUUUCCUUUGCUGAUGAAUAAGAGCAAAUAAAAUUAUUUCUGAAUGCCUUGGGACGGGGGGUGGGGGUUCGUUUUCUAAAGCUGGAUAGGGCCACUGCAUACCAACAUCCUAGGGACAAACUUCCCGUGUCUCAGACGUUCUUAGUUCAGUUUGUUUGAUCUGAGGUCGACUGAUUCCGUUAUCUCAAAGGGCAAGGGUUAAUGCCUUCUCAUAAAGAUAACAAUGAUAAACACAAACAAGGUAUUCACUUUGAUAUAUUGGUUUCUUAUCCAGGGAUCAAGGCAAAAAUGUGGGAGAACUGAAAACACAGAGUUUGAAGUAGCAUCAAAGUAAUUUGCCGGGUUUUGAAGUAGGAAGUUUUUUAUUAAUAUGUUUUCUUCCAGUGGAAUUGAGGUAUAUAGUAGUGUGAACUAAAUGAAGGCUAUGAAAUUGGGAGGUGUAUUUUGUGUUCACUGUGUCAAGUGUGUGUGGACUGCACAGGUGAUUCCUAUCUACUUGUGCUCGUCCUUGGGACUGGUUUAGUUUCCAUUAGGUGCUAAGGAAACUAGCCGUGUACCCUCAGCUCCCCCAGGAUGAGAGCCAUACCCAAGAGAACCCUGUCUGUGGGAAGGUAGUUCUUGCAGGGGUGGGGGGCAGCGGGAGGGAUCCCGAGUGCUGGGACUUCGGGGUCCUUGUUAGGGACUGUCAAGAAAUGUCAUCUGACACUGGGCAGUGUGGGGAGAAGCAGGAGGCUGUGAAUUAGUAAAACUUUGGAUGUACUU